rnacentral:lncRNA from 1 species
AAAGACCCACUUGUGUCCUACUGGUUUUACAUCGGAUGGUGUCCUUAAGGUCGGACCAAACACAUCCCUUUUCUUAAUGAUUCUUAGCUCCACGUUUUAUGGUCUUGUACCAUUUUAAUCAAUCAAGUCUUUGAGUGCACUCUAGUAUAAACGUGGGCUCAUGAUCCUCAUUUAUAUUCAUAAAUUCAAGUGCUACCUUGUAUGUAAAUAAAUCAUCUUAUGUCGACAUUCCUUAUAUGUUCCACUAUGUUCCAGACAUGAUAUAAUCGAUUUGAGAUUUAUUAUGGUCAGGACCUUUAAUACUUUGCAGCUUGGCGUCCCAAGCUACAUUAUAUGGUACCUGUACCUUAGAGCCGGCCGGCCUUAUCUCCAUG